rnacentral:piRNA from 1 species
UCCCGGCACGCUCCCUCUGCAGAUGGUCGU